GACAUGCGAGUCGAGAGUCGUAAUGGACUCGGCGGACUGCUACGUUAACACGUGGAUAACAUGCCCUUAAGUGGAGGAUAAUCUCGGGAAAUUGAGGAUAAUACUCCAUAGAUCAUGAAAUCUGGAAUGAUUCAUGGUUCAAAGUUCCGGCGCUUAAGGAUUGGUCUGCGGCCUAUCAGGUAGUAGUGGGUGUAACGUACCUACUAGCCUAUGACGGGUAUGGGCCUUGAGAGAGGGAGCCCAGAGUUGGAUUCUGAGACACGAAUCCAGGCCCUACGGGGCGCAGCAGUCGCGAAAACUUCACACUGGGGGCAACCCCGAUGAGGGAAUUCCUAGUGCUAGCGCUUUUUGUGCUAGCUUUUCUUCAGUAUAGAUAGCUGGAGGAAUAAGGGCUGGGUAAGACGGGUGCCAGCCGCCGCGGUAAUACCUGCAGCCCAAGUGGUGGUCGAUUUUAUUGAGUCUAAAACGUUCGUAGCCGGUUUGAUAAAUCCUUGGGUAAAUCGGAGAGCUUAACUUUCCGACUUCCGAGGAGACUGUCAAACUUGGGACCGGGAGAGGCAAGAGGUACUUGAGGGGUAGGGGUAAAAUCCUGUAAUCCUUUAAGGACCACCGGUGGCGAAGGCGUCUUGCUAGAACGGAUCCGACGGUGAGGGACGAAGCCUCUGGGUCGCAAACGGGAUUAGAUACCCCGGUAGUCCAGGGUGUAAACUGCUGCAGACUUGGUGUUGGAGAUCCUUCGUGGGUAUUCAGUGCCGGAGAGAAGUUGUUAAGUCUGCUACUUGGGGAGUACGU
rnacentral:rRNA from 1 species